AUGGCGCAAUGGUGGUGGGAGGGGCGGGAGCUGCGUAUCCUUGUCCUAGCCAGCCUCAGCGCCCAAUACUUCCUCGUAUUAUUUGCCGGCGUCCGUAAGUUCCAUAUCCCGCCAUGGCUCCGAGUUUCAUUCCGGCUGGCGCACAUCGGCAGCGACGCUCUGGCCAUCUUCACCCUCGCCACGCUCUUCAGCCGCCAAAAGAAUGGGCCGAGCUGCAGCUAUGCGCGUGGCAGCCACAGUUUGGAGCUGUUAUGGGCGCCGAUCGUGCUGAUGCACCUCGGUGGGCAGGUCGUCAUAACCACCUAUAAGAUUGAAGACAAUGAGCAGUGGAGCCGCCACAUCCUAACCUCUCUAUCCAAGGUCGUUGUUGCACUCUAUGUGUUUUACAAGUCAUGGUCGUCAAAUGACAAAAGUUUGUUGGCUGCAACAAUUUUGCUUUUCUUCAUGGUGAUUAUCAGAUGCUUCCAGAAGGCCCUGGACCUUAAGAGCAGUAGCUUUAAUGCCCUACGGAAGGCCAGCUCGUCCGGGAUUAGCAUCAUUCGGGGCACCUAUGUCACAGAAAAAAGAAGGCUUGACAAAUUUAUAAAAAAAGCAAGAAAAGUCGUGCACCGUGAUGGACCGCGGGGAUCACCGGCAGACCUCCCAAGGCUACCAUACCAGCUAUUUUUGGACUUUCCAUGUCUCUAUUCUGAUCGUGUUGGAAUCCUGAAUUUCUGGUUGCUUGACCCAAAAUCAGCUUAUCAAGCAAUAGAACGCGCACUGUCUGCUAUGACCAGUUUUCUCUACACCAAAGAUGAUACUGUCAAACCCUACCUUGGUUCCAAGGAAGCAUCAGCAACGGCCGUCUUCCGUCGGUGCACACAAAUACUAGCUUAUGCAACGUUAAUCGUAGCCAUCUGCCUGGUACAGACUAGUAGCCAGAAAAAAGAUUAUAACAGUGAAGAUACCUGGGUUACACUAGUACUGUUGUGGGGCACUUUUGUGCUGGAGCUGGUUUACUUGGGCGUACAAACAGCUUUCCGGGACAGGUUCUCUGGCAGAGUUCUCCAACAUAGUCUUAUUGGAUUAUUAGCCCAUAACAGAAGGCACUCGAGGUUGAGGACGAUUGCGGGAUGGUUGCAAUGCAAGGACUUCCUCGACGAUUGUUGGCACAUGAAGCCUAUCUAUUCGUGCGAGGAGAUUACAGAACUGGUCCGUCAGCAUGUUGAGUCAUUGUGGAAACACUGCAUCUUGGACAAUGAGACUUACAGUUGGCAUAAUGAUACCAGAGGCGAAUGGACGCUCACGAGUAAGCGAUGUCUCGGAGAACUGGGUUGGAGCAUACGGAGGCCAUUUGACGAGAGCAUUAUUCUCUGGCACCUGGCCACAGAUCUGUGCUUCCAGGCCAUAGAUUUAAUGUUUCAUGGUGAGGUCACGUCUCCUGAUGAUCGUGAAUGUGCCCGUCGGUGCAGAGAAAUGUCCAACUACAUGAUGCAUCUCUUGUUUGAUAAUCCUGAGAUGCUAAUGCCAGGCAGCAGAAAGAGUUUGUUCACAAGGGCCUAUCAAGAACUCGAAGACAUGCUCCGGUAUGAGGAGGAGGCACGGCUGAACGAGGACCAGAUUACACUGUUAGUAUUUGAGAGAUGCCACAGAGGCAUCACUGGUGAUGCUUUGAGGCUUGCUGAAAGUUUGUUGGUUGAUGCUUACCAUGGCGACGCGACCCGAAUGUGGAAGGUGAUCCAGGGCGUGUGGGUGGAGAUGCUCUGUUUUUCUGCCGGCCGGUGCCGAGGAUACUUGCAUGCAGAGACUCUGGGAACAGGUGUGGAGUACCUCUCCUAUGUCUGGGUCCUCUUGGCACACGCCGGGAUGGAGACAUUUCCGGAAAAGCUUCAGAGGGAGGGUCUGUCGGUUGAGGGCGAUGAUCGGGUUUAG
rnacentral:rRNA from 1 species